ACCAAAAAUGGACUGAGUUAAGCAGAAAGGAACCAACCCACAUUUUGGAAAAAAUUGAGUUAUGAGUGGUUUUGAACUCAACCACUGCUCUACUAUCUAUCGCCAAAAAUUCAAAAUUUUUGUUGGAGCAAAUUUUGCAGAAAUGGAACUUGAAGUUUAUCUUUUACAUUGAGUCUUAUGCAGGAGCUAAACUUUAAACCUCUUUUUCUCGGUUCGAGCCCGAUGUGGCUUGGUUCCUUUCUGUUUAACUCCGUCCAAAUAAUAGUAUGGGUUUAGAAGCCGGGAGACUUCAAAACGUGCUUUAUGUUACGAGAUGAUAACAGCGAUCAAAAUCUGAUGGGCGUUCGGCUCGAGAAUUUUCAGACGUGACUGAAAUGUUGAGCGCUGGCGGUGUUGUCAAUGAGCGAGUCAUCUCCGGGAUUGUCCUUGAAAAUGAGCGGGUAAAUUGAGAAUUCUCUGAGAAAAUUGCCAGAACUGUGUAGGAUUGAGACGUAAGUUCAUGCUCCCCUGCAUGUCAGAUCUCUGACAAAUUCUACUUUUUUUAUAAGAACUUAUGUUAUUUUCAGAAAUCUUUUAGCAUUGACGACAACACUGAAAAUUCGGUCAGUGACGUGUCACGUCGAAAGGUCGAUACUCGGGCGAUUCUGACAUACCCGAUAAAAAACCGCACCUGAUGGAAAAUUUGAGUGGGUCAGUUAUUGAAUUGACAAUAAACGGAAUUCGGCAGCCACAUAAUUUUUUUAUUUACUUCUUUGUAAACAGCGUGUAUGCACGGACAAAAUGAUAUUUCAUCAAUUCACUAAAUCGUUCUAAUGUAUCAUGAGGUUUUUUCAAUUGUUCAUUUGCUAUUAUAAUGACAUGUUGCAGAUUCCUGAAAAAUGCAAACAAAAAAUAUCAAUGUAGAUCUACACGCUGCCAAUAACAAUACCAUCAAUACAAUCAAUAUUGAAUGUGUCCAAAGAAUUAUUGCGGAAUUAGAGUCAAGCUACGGACAAGACCAGUCAUUCCUGCUUCCUAAAACCGACGAAACAGUUGACUUGGAGAGCAGCGGCCCGUACAAGCGUGUGCCUCCGCCGAAGCCGGUGAGCGGAGCUGGAUCGGAGAGCCGCCUCACUGCCAGCGCCACCCCGCCCCUGACGACCACCCCGCCGCCACCCCCGUACAGGAUGCCCCCGCGGCCCCUUCACAACGAGCCGCCCAUCCCCGGGGCCCCGGACCAACCCCACGCAUCCACCCCUAGUCUUCACACUCACUCGAGCAAAUUUCCGAUCGAACGAGAAGUAACUUUGAGCAGUACAGAUAAGAACUCAAAAAUACCAAUUUUAAAUGACUAUUUGAAGAGGCCAAAUUCCUCAAUUGCUCCAGAUGCUCCUCACAUACAGAUGGCAUGGAUUGAAGACAAGCAUAGGAAUUCAAAUUUAAAUCACACUGGAUCUCAACAAACGCAAAACCUCCAAGUGUUUAAGGCUCAACCAAUGAAUUUGAUGGAUUCAAGCCAAAUUUCAGAAUUGUCUCCAAUUCGAGGCCAAGAUCUAUCCCUGCCCACCAACCUUAGGUAAAUAUCAACUUCCAACUGCGUGAUGUGAACAUUUUCAAU
rnacentral:lncRNA from 1 species